rnacentral:rRNA from 1 species
UACGUAGGGUGCGAGCGUUGUCCGGAAUUAUUGGGCGUAAGGAGCUCGUAGGCGGUCUGUCGCGUCGGUCGUGAAAACUUGGGGCUUAACCCUGAGCUUGCGGUCGAUACGGGCAUGACUGGAGUUCGGCAGGGGAGACUGGAAUUCCUGGUGUAGCGGUGAAAUGCGCAGAUAUCAGGAGGAACACCGGUGGCGAAGGCGGGUCUCUGGGCCGAUACUGACGCUGAGGAGCGAAAGCGUGGGGAGCGAACAGG